rnacentral:misc_RNA from 1 species
AAAAAAAAAAACCUCAGCUUCUCAGGCAUUAGAUGGAGGCAACUCUUGUGACAUUAAAAUAAACCCUAAGCUUAGUUUGCAGUAAAAUAUAUGCCAACCGCAUUUCGACUUACAAUUAAGAGGAGAGGUAAUUGACUAGGGUAAUUUUGUCCAGAUCAUAUUUUACUUUCUUUUCUGAAUCCUGAUGCUGUUGCAAACAAAUUGCCUUUUUGAGAUGUGCAUGAUGACGCCCACCCCAAGUAUUGUAUUGAUCACAAGGAACAAAACUUGGUAUUUACAUCUUCAUUACUCCCCUAAAGUUCCACUUCAUGAAGCUCAUCUCCAAUACUGCUACCAUUCAUUGGCAUAUGAGUCAUAGAAGGAUCACCAGGCAUGAAAGAUGAAGGAGGCAUGCCCAGUGCCUCUCCUAAAGGUUUGGUUUCCACCAUUUUUGGGGGGCUAAACGCAUCAUUGAAACUUCCACUCCAUGAUGCUGUCCGUCGAGAGUGAGAUGACAUGGGUACAUUGCCAUUGCCAUUUAUUGCUCUCUCCCUUGUAAUAUUAUCCAUGCUUGGGAAUCUUUGCAAGUUCAUUUUUGAAAAGGAUGAGGAAGAUUGGAAAGAGUCAUCAACAGAUGUUGAAGGACUUUCAGCUAAUCCUGUACUUUCUUGUACAUUUUCAGCUAUAGUUUCUGUUGAAUUUUCACUUGAUAGAAGAGGCGUGGGAAUAAAAAACUUAGCAUUUGCAGACACAGCAGGUUUGACAGAUGGAACAGAAGGUGACCGGAAUAAAUUUGCCGAGCUUCCACCUCCUUGGUUGAAGGUGUCAACAUACCUUGCUCGUACACCCAUCCGCCCACGAGCUGAGAACUGAUUUGAACUGGUUGGAAUAGGUGGAAUCCCUGAAGAGUGCUCCACAGGAUUUGGGGUCUUAGAUGUUGGGCUCCCAUUAGUGGGAGAUCCAUCACUCUUUAGUGCAGAUUUCAAGUUGUAGUCAGACAUUCCAUUCUGGAAGGCUGAAGUUGUUGGAGGGGGUUGCAAGACUGCUUCUUCAGUUGGGGGUUCAGCACCUUCUUCUACCCAUCUCUUAAGCUUUUCAUCAUAAUAGAAUUUGUUCUUUUCACCCAAUUUAGCCUGUCGAUCUGAACGGGGCCUUAAAACUAGCCCUACGGUCUUUUGCAAAAGCUGUGAACCAAAACCAAAACGACCAAAGCGAGAUGCCGUGCCUGAACCUGACGUUUUGCUUUGUGCACUAGAUGAGGUUCCUUCCUUUGGCGACUCAACCUGUCUUGGAGUUCUACCAAUAUCUGGCUCAGAAACACUUCUGUUAUGCAUUGUCAUUCUAUUGCCAUCAGCUGCCCAUUCACUUAUGGGCUCCAUUGAAGCAGAAGGCAUUAAUGAUGACAUGGCCAUUGUCGACUGACUAGCUGAUACCCUAGGCACCAUUGGCUGGUGAUGAUGCUCAUUACCUUGUGACGUUGUUGGUACAGGUGGUGGUAGACCCCCAACAACACGGUGUGCAGUAGUAUCAAAAAAGUUGAGCAAUUUACCUACUAACUUUGCUGGAGCCAAAUUUGCAGUGUAUCCGCCCUGUUGAUGGGUUCUAAUCCUCUCCUCAAGGGAUAAUACUAAUUGUUUCCAUGUUUCCACUUCUUGAGCACGACCAGUCUUUAGAGAUUUUAAUAUUGCCUGACAGUACUUUAACGAAUCAGAAACUUUGCCCACUUCAGCCAGCAUAUAUGCAUAUAUCAACUUAUAUGGCUGAAAUGGUAGCAGGAUAUACUGGGAGUUGCCAAGCACCUUUGAAUAUUCGUACAAUUCAGUUCUCUGAAUAGCUUCUGGAUUAGCAUAGGUCCGAGGAUGCUUCCAGUGGUCUGCUCCAAUAAGACACAGUCUUGCACUGUCUGAAUAUGAUUCAAAGUUGGUUUCCGCCACUAAAUAGCAUAUGUGAGCACCGGUAAUCUCACUUCUUUCCUUCCAUAGGCAAUCUCCAAGAUGUAUAAUCACAAGCUCAUCAUCUUUAGUUCUGUUUGCAGUUAUUACAGCCAAAUUCUCUUCCCAAUCAUCAAGCAUGCCAUUUGCCUCAAACUGCAGUUCAUUGCCAAACAUUGAUAAUUACUUCUGAAUAUAGAUAAAUAAAAACAUAAAAUUUUUUUUCCCUAGAGGAGAGGCAUUUGCAGGAAGAAAUAUCAUACAUCAUUUUUUUUCCCCUAGAGGAGAGGCAUUUACUGGAAGAAAUAUAGUAAAAUGAAAAGAUGGCAGUCACAUGACAGCUAUAUCAAGGCCUAUGAGCUCUUAGAACCAUAGUAGAAAGCAUUGAGAAGGCUUAGCAACAAAACAAAAAAAGAGGUAACUAAAUAACUGUUGCAAAUAAAUUUUAAUAAUAAUAAUGAUAAGCCAGCAGAAAUUUCAGGACCACACGAUCACAAGGGAAAUCAAUUUCAACAUCAUUAGAGAUGUUUCAAACGUACCUGACAUGUAGCAUGCAGUUCAGUUUGCCAUCAAGGUGUUACAAGUUAUGACAUCAAAUAAACCCAUCCUCUGCGACAUAUCUUUCAGAAGUCCUGCAAGAUCCAACGACCUGAACCACUGUUUCAAUGUUGCCCUCCUUGCAUUGCCAGUCAAUCGAAGUAGCAAAAUGUAAUGGCAUCAGGAACCAGGCUAACAUACUGGCCCGAAAUAUAUUACCCUUGUGAAGGAUAUUGGUAAUCCCUUUUUCAUUGAUCUCUUUAGACUACAUUAUGUUUCAAUUUAAAAUCCUCCACAACAACCCGUUUUACGCAAAUUGGGAGUGUUAACAGAAUCUAUCUACAAGCAAAAUAUCACAUGUACAUAACCCUAGAAUAAAUGAUAAAAUUUACUAAUUUUAAUUCACAAAUAAUUAACACAAAAAGCUACCCCCUCCUAUUCAUAGCAUAUCUCCAGUGGGCAUACAAAUCAGAAAAGCUUCAUGGUAAAAGAGUUAGUGACAAAGCAAAGUCAACCCAGCUUCUCUUGAUCGUAUCUGGGAUUUUCAGUUGUCAUUCCUGUGCUCAAACUUGUAUUUGUUCGACAAGAUCGUUUCCUGGGUUUCUUCAAUGAGGAAACAGCGAGAGGACCAAGGCUGAGUUGUUGUGCCAUGUCCGUAACUUCCUUCUCUGUUGCAACUGUUUUCAUGCUUGGUGUUGUCUUCCUGCAAGAUCUAUUGGGACGACAUGAAGCUAAGUUUUUGGCAAUAGGACAAACACUCAUUGCACACUCUUCAUGCUUAUCCUUUCUGCUUGGAGGAUCAACAGUCGCACAUGAUUCUAGAGUUAACCAAGAGCUGCUAGCAGCAUCCUUCCCCAGGCUUGUCAGACCCAACUCUAAGAAAGGACUGCCUUUCCCAGGGAUAGAAGUAUUGCUCUGAGGAUGAACAGGACUACUCCAUUCACAUUGUUUAUCACCACAAUCUGCAUCAGUUGCAAUUUUUUCUGUUGCCAAACUUGGAAGGUCCUAUUUACAACAUGAUCGAAUAGGAUGUCAAAUAACAUGAUGAAAGUAAAAAAAUGCAUUUUGAGAAAAGUAAUCAGUUUCCAAUAGAACAUGUUAGAAGCAUUUGUGAGGGGACGAGAAAGGAAGUGAACCAUGUUACUUCACCAAACCCCAGACAUCUACACAAACAACAUCAGAAAACAAGGAAACAUAGCAAUGUCUCCCACAAUGCAAAAGCAGCAAGACUAAACAAAAAUCAAAUAAUAGCUGUAGAAAGACAGUGGUAUAAUGAGUACGCCAAGCCCCAGUAGUUAAAAAAUAAAGUUCCAUCAUGUGAUGUGCAGUGAAUUACACAUAGAACAGCUCUGUAAAAUAGCGAAUCACUUGAUGCAUCAACAAAUUAAACUGUCAGUUUGAUUAGGACAUAAUUAUCAUAUGAUAGCAAUUCCAUUAAGUCAUGAGGAGUUCAAGCACUCAGCUGAAUAUCCUGUGUCUCUCAGGAUUCAAAAGUAGCCAAACACUAAUAAAACAGAGAGUAAAGUCACCUUAUAGUGCACCUCUGCAACUAGUUCACAGCCCAAACCCUCCUCCCCGUCAGAAUCAGCCAUCUCCUCACGUUCGAACUCUACAUGUUCUUCAAUUUCUUCAUCAGAGUCACUCAACUCUUCCUGUUCCAUCACAAUCUCUGGGUGAGACUGGUCCCCUAGGUCAUCCAUGUUGCAGCCGCUGUCAUUAUUGCUUGGGACAAUUGACGCAUCAGCACUAGCACCGUUUUGUUGGUGACAUGAAUUGUUAGUUUUGUGCUUUUCAAUUGUAUUUCCAGCAUUUGGUGCACUUAUUGUUGACUUUGGUUCAUUAUUUGCACCAAAAUCUCUACUUUCCUUAGUUUUCUCUUUUCUGGUCGUAGAACUUAGAUGGAUUUCCAAGUCCAGUUCAUUAGCUUUCUCAUUCGGAACAGAGGCUUUUGAGCCAGUAGCAGAUGGACUACUAUUGACCAGUGAUGUAGUCUGAACAGCAUCUAAAGUAUUUUGAAAUUGAGCAGAUUUGCCUCCCAAGCAAACAAAUUGGUGAGUAUUGGAGCAUGCUGUGGCAACGUCACUAUUUUCAUCAUCAGUUCUUUGCAAAAGAGGAUGGAAGUCAAUCCCACAUGAUGCUGCAGCAGAUUCCUUUGUCUUUGAAGAUUUAUUGAAACAACCAGAAAUGUGAUUUGCUUGGUGUGGACCAUGAACGAGACUCAGAUUCAACUGAGGCUGAUUUGCUGAAAAGAAUGUAAAAGAACUAGAAGUACCAGUUCUACAACUCGGUGGAAAAUAUGAUAGACGUCCAUCUUCAGGAGCUUGGAACAGUAACGGAUGCAUCUGAAGAUCUGAAUCAGCACCCCUCUCUUCAGCACCACAUGUAUCAUGGAGAACUGAAGAUUCUUCACGAUGUGAACUUGUUAGCUCUUCUGGGCAUGAAUUUGUGACAUCAUCUGUCACUUGAUUGCUUUUAUCCCUUUUAGCUUUUGCCAAACUGGUGGUUCUCAAAUUUGCAACAUGUGGAAGCUGAGGAACUAUAUUUUCUUUUCCAGCAUCACUAUUACUACCUCCUGAGGCAGAUACCUUUAUAGGCACUCUGCACUGGUUGCUUUUGAAAGCUGCUUGAGAAAUUACACGAACAGUUGGUGGAAGAUUUACAGGGGGCAAGUCUGGAGCCAAUUUCACUAAGUGUGCACCAUCAGUUAUACGAGUCCGAUAUGGCCACAAAUAAAUUUGAGACUUAGCAGCAUUUGGUGCUGUGUCAGAAACUUGGUGGUUCAGUUGCACAGAAUUAGGAGGACAAUGUCUAACAUGAGUAAAGUGUGACAUAUUAUGAGGAUAUUGAUAAUAACGAGCAUAUGGAAAGCCAUGCAUAUUAUCAAUCUGGGAUUGCUCCCUAAUGUGACUACCCUCUCUUAGCAAUGCACCACUAGGAAGGUUUUUGUCCCUAAGGUUUAAGCAGGAAUGGCAUGAUGCAUCUGGUCUCCAAUCUGCUAAAAAUGCCUGAUGAACAUAAGCGUCACUUGCAUGAUCUACAUAAUCAUCUCCACUAUUAUUUUCUCCACCUGUGCUGUCAACAUGAUUGUCCUCUUUGUCAGAUAUCCGUUGCCAGUUUGCCAAAUCUGCAGUUUUGCACUUUCUUCUAUUUGAUUCAUAUAUCCGUCGUUUUUCCUUUUUUGCAGCAUCUAAUUUAUAUGAUCUCUGAGUUCCAAGGGCAAUCCGCCACUGUCGGGCUAGUAAGGAUGGAUCCCUAUGUGGGACAAUGAAUCUCCAAACUGACAUCCAAUCAUGUUUAAAAACCCUGAGUCCCUCAUGAAUGCAUUCUAUCUCCUCUGCAGUCAAUGGAGAAGUUUUCAUCCUCCGAACUGCCUUUAUUGGAUUUUCUGGUGCUUUUGAUGAGCAACGAUUUUUCUGCCUAACAAAAAUCUGGUGCUUAGAUUUGCAAGGAAGAAAACGCUGUUGAAUUGCCUUCCAAUCUGUAUUAUGUUCCAUCAUUCCCAUAGCUAACAAUUCAUCCUCUGAAUCAGUGAAAAGGACUCGAUUUGCCACAGCUGCAGGAGGCGGCUUAUGAGGAAAUAGUGCUGGAUUGAACAGAGGAAAAAACCUCUGUGCUAACUUGCUAAUAUCUUUUGGAACUAAAGCAAUUGAUUGCUUCUUGGCAUUUUCAACAAUGGAAGCAGCCAAUGUCUUCUUAGGUGGUUGUUGAACAGGAGUAGAUGGCACUGCACUGACAGCAGUAGGUAUGUUUUCUUUUGAAACUUCACCAUUUGGCUUAGUUGAGGCUGGAAAAUGAGGAAGGUUAAAGAGUGGGGCCCUCUCAUUCCAGGUAUCACAACUAGAAUCCAAAUGACGCUGCCGAUAUUCCUGGACAGCAUUAAAAACAUCAUCCAUAUACCUUCCAACCAAAUUAAGCGGAGCUACAUCCAUAAUGGACAUUAUUGGACCACUCAUGAAGGGUACCCAUAAAGAAACAGCAGUUUGUGAGGAAUUAUUCUGUCCAUUGAAAACGGGAUCACUUCUUCCCUUAGCUGUAAAAAUGUUCUGAGAAACUAACAUCUGCAUGUUUGGAGUAGAAGAUGAGUCAGUGCAUUGUGCUGGGGUAUAGUUGGGAAAUUCAUCUGUCACUGAUGGGCACAUGUAGGAAGGGUGAAAGCAAAUACAAGGAUAAGGCACACUUCUGCAGGCGAUUACUUCAUCGUGUUUAUGAACCAUCUCAAAAAUCAAUCCCUGAACCUGGGAGGCAACCUGUUGCCGGGAAGGAUCAAGAAUGCUAAGAGAAAACACUUGAAUAAGUAGCUGCAUAUGUUCAUGUAUCAAACAAUACAACUGGCCUAUUUGCUGUGGAGUGAAUCCAUUUAUCAAGCCAUUUUCUGCUGGAGAAGACAGAUAACUUGGGGCAGUUUCAGGCAUCAAACCCUUCGCAUCAGAAGUAGGAAACGAAGCAAUUGCUCCAUUUGGCAAGAUUGGUAAAAGGGGACACAAUGGCCUCUUUGUCUGUUCUAAAAGCUUCUUUUUGUAUUGAGCAGAUGCCUUUUGGCGUCUAUUCUGCCUUGUCUUUGGCCUUCGACCACCUCUCUCAUGAUCCACUUUUCUAUCUUUAUCCCUUUUAUUGUCAUCAACGUCACUCUCAAGCAACUCUUCAAGUUCUAUCUCAAAAUCUGCAUCAUUAUCCUCAUUUUCAUCAUCAUCAUUUUCAUUACCUUGAGUUGACUGACCAUUACCAUCUCCACCCUGUAAAACAGCUGCAAGAAAUUUCCUGUAUUCUUCUUCAUCAUCAACAUUCUGAAGGUCAUCCUCAUCAUCAGUUUCUUGAAGGAAAGUCUCAAGUUCAUCGAGCGUAAAACUUGCAAGGGAAUAGCGAGCCCUAGUGCGCUUCCAAAUAGCAUCCUCAUCAUCCAAACUCAUUGCAGGUUUACUGAAGGUAUUCUCCUUCUCUCGAACACUUUCAUUUUCCGGUUGAGAGAUGGAAUCACAUUUCCUCUUCUUAGAUUUUCUAUUAAGGGGUCUUUGGAGUUGUUUUUCACUCUCAGGAGAAAACGCACUUUGCAUCACAACCUCCUCUCCAUGCUCAGAAUCUCCAACAGCAUAAUUUCGCACUUCACCAAUAGUUGGUUUAGAAGAAUUACCCUCCAAACCUUCGACUUCAGAGCUCAAACUCGAAGAAGCUUCUGGCGAAGGUGUUCCCUUCAAAAAGGGGUUGAAAUCUACGUCUUCCUCCUCGUCUUCAUCCUCAUUCUCAUUUUCAUCCGCUUCCUGAGGCUUUGAACCACUCUCGUCGAUAUCCAUGGAGCCAUUUUGUUGAUCACUCGUUUGCCCAUUGAUACAUGAAGACAUUUUGAAACAAAAACAUCCAAUACAAUCCAAUCAACCCUAAUAAGCAAAUCCAAAUAACACAAGUUAACAGAAACUUAAAGCUAAACAAAACAUCGUUGAAAUAUCAAUUGCAUUUGGUGUAACGAACACCAAGAACCCUGGAGAGGCAGGAAAGCUGAAUUGGAAACUCAUAAACAAUGAAAAUGCACAUCGGGAACAAUUUUCACAACAUGUGAGACGCCAAAUCAAACAGUAAAUAAUAAAGAUGAAGAACCUUUGAAUUGGAGAAGAGAUUGAAAUUGUUGGAUAUUGCUACGAGGAACCAGUUGCUUGUGCUGGCGGACUGCUGAGCCUGAGUUUAUACUAACAGAGGGUGGAAACCUCGCCGUUCCACGGGGAUUUAAAACGAGAAGCCGUUUUAUGGAAGAAGGAACGAUGCCGUGGAGAGAAAAC